UACAGAGGGUGCAAGCGUUAAUCGGAAUUACUGGGCGUAAAGGGCUCGUAGGCGGCCAACUAAGUCAGACGUGAAAUCCCUCGGCUUAACCGGGGAACUGCAUCUGAUACUGGAUGGCUUGAGUUCGGGAGAGGGAUGUGGAAUUCCAGGUGUAGCGGUGAAAUGCGUAGAUAUCUGGAGGAACACCGGUGGCGAAGGCGGCAUCCUGGACCGACACUGACGCUGAGGAGCGAAAGCCAGGGGAGCAAACAGG
rnacentral:rRNA from 1 species